CCUAGCGAACCAAUCCUGAAGAGCAAACCAUUUCCCCAAAGAGGAGAUGGGCAGGGCAGCCUCCCUAUAAAAGGCAAGACGAGCUCAGAGUUUCAGCUACACCUCCAGUGCGCCGUUCUUGGUAGAGAGUAGUAGCUGGGAAUUGGAUUUUUUCCCUCGUAUCUCUUGUGUUCUUUCGCGUGUACGGUUGAGGCCGUGCUCUCUUGCAGUUGCAGUGAGCUAGCGAGCUCUGUGUUUCUUCACCAUGGUUUGUUCUUUAAGUGGUGUUUUGAACUUCAUUUUCUUCUCCUUUGUGGCUGUUGUUUUGGUGGAACACUUUUGUGUCUGUGUUGCUGGUGCAAAAACUUCCAAUCCGGCUGUGACGAAUCUCGUCUGGGCAACCCGGCCACCUUUUGCACAUAAGACCGACUCCAGCGGGCUUCCCAUCCCGUCCCCGCCGCGGUAAAUGGGACGCUGGGCGCACUGUUCACGCGCCCAACGGAUUGCCCAUUGCGUCUCGGAAAAACGGGGUACCUCCCUCCCGUCCCGCAGAUCCGCGCGAGCCCCCCCCCCGGCCUCCCAUCCCAACUGUCGCUCCCGUCCUCCCCUUCUCCCUCUCUGGUGCAUCUCGGGCGGACGGAGCACCGCCACCACCACCACUGGCGCGGACGGAGAUCCGGCGCGGAUGGACCACCCCCACCGCUUCUCCGGCGGACGGAGAAGCAGCUGCAAGAGCCGGCGGCGCACGAGGUCUUCUUCACCCCCAGCGCUGGAUCUUCCACUGCUCCGGCACCAUCUGCAGCAGGGUCUGGUGGAGCACUACAUAUACAUGCCGACAAAAUUGAUCCACAAGAAGAGGAUGGAAACACGUCCUGCUAUGCAUCAACAUUCUACAGUGUGCACAGCUCAGACAUCUUAUUUUGCUGAUUAUUCGAAUACAGCAUCAUUCCUACCAAUUGAACAAUUUCUCUGCAGUUAAUCAGCCGCUGAGUGCAUCAAGAAGCCCUAAAGCAAUGUAAACCUUGCAAACAUGUCAACCGACUCUGUGUAAACGAACUUACAGUAGGGAAGCUACCCCCAUGUUCCAGAGUUUCUACCAAAGCUGCAAGAAGUCAGGGAUCUGGAAUGUCUGAAGAGGGAAGAAACCUCAUCAGAAAGCUUGAGAGAGACCAUACACAGAUAACGCCAAGAAUUUGAAGAACAGUGAGUAAUGCUCCUAAUGAGUUCAUGAUAGCCAGAGUUUGAUUUGUUGUCUCUGUUCCUCUGACAGAAAAUGUGAGUGCCGUCACCAGCUGAGCUGCCCGGUUCAGUUGGUGAAGCCUGUACACCUGGAAGCAGGAGGAAAAACAUAUGCUCAGAACUUAUUGAGAGCAUCAUGUAACAUUUAAGUGCUAAUCCAUCCAUAUAAAACAUAAACAUGCAAUUGCUUGAUCGUCCAGAUGAGAAACAGCAUUGCAUGGAGAGUCAUGCUCAUUACUAA